UCUUAUAUAGAAAGCAGCUCAUAAACAGUUUAGAAGACUUAAACUGUGCUUGCUUUGACAACACAUAUACUAAAAUUGGGACGAUGCAGAUUAGUUUAACGUGGUUCCCGUGCAAGGAUGACACGAAAAUUAAUGAAGAGUUCCAAUUUUAUUUUUAAAAAUGGAACUGUGAUAGCCAGUCAUAACGAUCCCUUCUCAUGUAUGUGCAUCAGGGGUUUCCUCAGUAAUCGUUUGUUUUCAUCACUGGAAGUAAAAUCUCUGUGCAGAGACUGUGUUGCAUGAAUUAUGCAUUGCACGAAUUAAUUCAUUCAUCAAGUCAUUCUUGAGCUUCUACCAUGUUCCAAGCUCUGUGUGAGGCUCAGAAUAUACAGAGCAGAGUAAGAGUUAGUCCCUGCCUGCAAGGACCUCACAGCGGUGGAGUAAGAAGUGAGUCACACUCCAGUGGGAAGUGGGCAAAGAUUUCCUAAGCAGACACAAAAAUAUUGACCAUAAAAGAAGAUGCAUAAAUGGAGCUUAAUUAAAAUCAGUACUUUCUCUUCAAGUAAGCCCAGGCGGGGUGGCUCACGCCUGUAAUCCCAGCACUUUGGGAAGCCGAGGAGGGUGGAUCACGAGGUCAGGAAAUUGAGACCAUCCUGGCCAACAUGGUGAAACCCUGUCUCUACUAAAAAUACGAAAAUUAGCUGAGCGUGGCAGCCCAUGCCUGUAAUCCCAGCUAUUCGGCAGGCUAAGGCAGGAGAAUCUCUUGAACCCGGGAGAUGGCGGUUGCAGUGAGCCAAGAUCGUCG
rnacentral:lncRNA from 10 species